rfam:Chryseobacterium solincola strain DSM 22468 contig03, whole genome shotgun sequence.
UUCUAGCCCCGAUUGCAGCGGCAUCCUUUUGCGAAACGAGGUGCAGCAAAAGAUACAGCGGAAAGCGGGUUACCAA